rnacentral:rRNA from 1 species
UACAGAGGUCUCAAGCGUUGUUCGGAUUCGUUGGGCGUAAAGGGUGCGUAGGUGGCGCCGUAAGUCGGGUGUGAAAUUUCGGAGCUUAACUCCGAAACUGCAUUCGAUACUGCGGUGCUUGAGGACUGGAGAGGAGACUGGAAUUCAUGGUGUAGCAGUGAAAUGCGUAGAUAUCAGGAGGAACACCUGCGGUGUAGACGGCUUUCUGGACCAUUACUGACACUGAGACACGAAAGCGUGGGUAGCAAACAGG